UGCCAGCCGCCGCGGUAAUACGGAGAGGGCAAGCGUUGUUCGGAAUUAUUGGGCAUAAAGCGCACGUAGGCGGAUUGGUCAGUCGGUUGUGAAAGCCCGGGGCUCAACCCCGGAACGGCUUCCGAAACUGCCAGUCUGGAGGACGAGAGGGGAGAGUGGAACUUCUGGUGGAGCGGUGAAAUGCGUAGAUAUCAGAAGGAACACCGGUGGCGAAAGCGACUCUCUGGCUCGUUUCUGACGCUGAGGUGCGAAAGCGUGGGGAGCAAACAGGAUUAGAUA
rnacentral:rRNA from 1 species